AAAACAUAGCCUUUAGCACGACAAGUAUUAAAGGUCUCGCCUGCCCCAGUGAAUAUUUUUAACGGCCGCGGUAUCCUAACCGUGCAAAGGUAGCGUAAUCAUUUGUCCCCUAAAUAGGGACUCGCAUGAACGGCUAACUGAGGUUCUAACUGUCUCAUCAGGCUGAUCAAUGAAACUGAUCUUUUAGUACAAAAGCUAAAAUGAUAACAUAAGACGAGAAGACCCUGUGGAGCUUUAAACUAAUAUUAUUACUUUUUCCCGACACAUCAGUCAAUAAAUCAUAAUAAAAGUUUUCAGUUGGGGCGACUUUGGAACAAAAGAAAACUUCCAUGCCCAGGAAUCCCUUCCUAUUAAGGUGGACACACCAAAACAUCAACACUAUUGACCCAGCAUUGCUGAGCCACGAACCAAGUUACCCCAGGGAUAACAGCGCCAUCCUCUUCAAGAGUCCCUAUCGACAAGAGGGUUUACGACCUCGAUGUUGGAUCAGGACCCCCCGGUGGUGCAACCGCUACCAAAGGUUCGUUGUUC
rnacentral:rRNA from 1 species